UGGGGAUAUAGCCCAGUGGUAAAGCACUUGCCUAGCAUGUGAGGCCCUGGGUUCAAUCCCCAGUACUAA
rnacentral:tRNA from 1 species